rnacentral:rRNA from 1 species
CAGUGGGGAAUAUUGGACAAUGGGCGCAAGCCUGAUCCAGCCAUGCCGCGUGAGUGAUGAAGGCCUUAGGGUUGUAAAGCUCUUUUACCCGGGAAGAUAAUGACGGUACCGGGAGAAUAAGCCCCGGCUAACUUCGUGCCAGCAGCCGCGGUAAUACGAAGGGGGCUAGCGUUGUUCGGAUUUACUGGGCGUAAAGCGCACGUAGGCGGAUCUUUAAGUCAGGGGUGAAAUCCCGAGGCUCAACCUCGGAACUGCCUUUGAUACUGGGGAUCUCGAGUUCGGGAGAGGUGAGUGGAACUGCGAGUGUAGAGGUGAAAUUCGUAGAUAUUCGCAAGAACACCAGUGGCGAAGGCGGCUCACUGGCCCGAUACUGACGCUGAGGUGCGAAAGCGUGGGGAGCAAACAGGAUUAGA